UACGUAGGGUCCAAGCGUUAUCCGGAAUCACUGGGCGUAAAGCGUGCGUAGGUGGAUGUUUAAGUGUAUUGCGAAAUCCUGUGGCUCAACCAUAUGGACUGUAAUGCAUACUGGAUAUCUAGAGGACGGCAGAGGCAAGUGGAAUUUGUAGUGUAGCAGUGAAAUGCGUAGAUAUUACAAGGAACACCAAUGGCGAAGGCAGCUUGCUGGGCCGACCCUGACACUGAGGUACGAAAGCGUGGGGAGCGAACAGG
rnacentral:rRNA from 1 species